rnacentral:rRNA from 1 species
GAUGAACGCUAGCGGCAGGCCUAAUACAUGCAAGUCGAACGGGAUCUGAGGGUAGCUUGCUACCCGAUUUGAGAGUGGCGCACGGGUGCGUAACGCGUGAGCAACCUACCCAUAUCAGGGGGAUAGCUCGAAGAAAUUCGGAUUAACACCGCAUAAUAAUACGCUAACACAUGUUAAUGUAUUUAAAUAUUUAUAGGAUAUGGAUGGGCUCGCGUGACAUUAGCUAGUUGGUAAGGUAACGGCUUACUAAGGCGACGAUGUCUAGGGGGUCUGGAAGGAGGAUCGCCCACACUGGUACUGAGACACGGACCAGACUCCUACGGGAGGCAGCAGUAAGGAAUACUGGUCAAUGGGCGCAAGCCUGAACCAGCCAUGCCGCGUGCAGGAUGACUGCCCUAUGAGUUGUAAACUGCUUUUGUUAGGGAAUAAACCUACUUAUGUAUAAGUAGCUGAAUGUACCUAAAGAAUAAGGAUCGGCUAACUCCGUGCCAGCAGCCGCAGUAA